GUAGUCCAUGCCGUAAACGUUGGGCACUAGGUGUGGGACCCAUUCCACGGGUUCCGUGCCGCAGCUAACGCAUUAAGUGCCCCGCCUGGGGAGUACGGCCGCAAGGCUAAAACUCAAAGAAAUUGACGGGGGCCCGCACAAGCGGCGGAGCAUGCGGAUUAAUUCGAUGCAACGCGAAGAACCUUACCAAGGCUUGACAUACACCGGAAAAGUGCAGAGAUGUGCUCCCCGUAAGGUCGGUGUACAGGUGGUGCAUGGUUGUCGUCAGCUCGUGUCGUGAGAUGUUGGGUUAAGUCCCGCAACGAGCGCAACCCUCGUCCCAUGUUGCCAGCGGGUUAUGCCGGGGACUCAUGGGAGACUGCCGGGGUCAACUCGGAGGAAGGUGGGGAUGACGUCAAAUCAUCAUGCCCCUUAUGUCUUGGGCUUCACGCAUGCUACAAUGGCCGGUACAAAGGGCUGCGAUACCGUAAGGUGGAGCGAAUCCCAAAAAGCCGGUCUCAGUUCGGAUUGGGGUCUGCAACUCGACCCCAUGAAGUCGGAGUCGCUAGUAAUCGCAGAUCAGCAACGCUGCGGUGAAUACGUUCCCGGGCCUUGUACACACCGCCCGUCAAGUCACGAAAGUCGGUAACACCCGAAGCCGGUGGCCCAACCCUUGGGGGGGAGCCGUCGAAGGUGGGACUGGCGAUUGGGACUAAGUCGUAACAAGGGUAACCG
rnacentral:rRNA from 1 species